AAGGAUCAUUAAUGAAUUUAGAUUGAACCAUAGGCGAAAGCCAGUGGUUCUUCUUUCAUAUCCAUAACACCUGUGCACUGUUGGAUGCUUGCAUCCACUUUUAAACUAAACAUUAUUGUAACAAAUGUAGUCUUAUUAUAACAUAAUAAAACUUUCAACAACGGAUCUCUUGGCUCUC
rnacentral:misc_RNA from 1 species